UCGCGCGGACCAUUGGAUCACUGGUCGACGAACCGUGGGGCGAACAGCCUCUUAUUCCACGGCGUGUACGUAUAGCGAGUUCGUGGGAACACGAUAAUGAGGCCCGGAGAGUUUACGUGGUCGGAGGAGACGCGGCUGUUAUUUGCGCGCAAACGUUCGUAAUCCGGCAUUAGCGGCCGGAAACUUGGAUGUUCCAUUCGAGAGUCAACGACGCAUCCGAACAACGAGAUACUUACUCUCACCGUACUCUGACGGCAACUGCCUGAGAGUUGUUGCAUUGGUUAUCAAACUCGUCACACGUAACGCUGAGGGCCAGACGAGAAACGUACAUAGAGAUACAAAUGACUUUCUACUUUUGUUUUGCCUGAAAGUUAGACGUUGUGGCAAUCGAGUUGCUCUUGCUUGCUUAAAAUAAGUUUACUGAUGUUAUGCGUUGAACUAGUGUCGUGUGUUAAACUAAUGUUUGUAUUCAAUUUACGCUCUCAAUAUAACUGUUUUAAUAGUUGUAUUAAUAAUGAUUUGCCAUUCAAUUGCUAUUCCUAACCUUUUCAAUGACAUGGGAAAAUUUUGUUUGUUAUAAUAUGGAAUAUUGCAAAGGUAGAUGACUAAUAAUCUGAAAAUUUUUGGCAAAAAAUAAUAUUUUUGUUUCAUUUUGUUUCUUUCCAUUUAUUACGUCUAUGUUUAAUUUCCGUUGUUCUGUUCAUUCCUUACAUAAGAUACAUGUAUGAUAUCUUUUAAUAAAUAUUGAUUUUAUUGAUUACGUUA